rnacentral:tRNA from 1 species
UGGGGCGUAGCCAAGCGGUAAGGCAGCGGCCUUUGGAGCCGCGCAUCGGAGGUUCGAAUCCUCCCGCCCCAACCA